UACGUAGGGGGCAGGCGUUGUCCGGAAUUAUUGGGCGUAAAGAGCGUGUAGGCGGUCCGGUAAGUCAGCUGUGAAAGUCAAGGGCUCAACCCUUGAAUGCCGGUUGAUACUGUCGGGCUAGAGUCCGGAAGAGGCGAGUGGAAUUCCCGGUGUAGCGGUGAAAUGCGCAGAUAUCAGGAGGAACACCGGUGGCGAAGGCGGAUCUCUGGGCCUUACCUGACGCUGGGGCGCGAAAGCUAGGGUAGCAAACAGG
rnacentral:rRNA from 1 species